rnacentral:lncRNA from 11 species
GAUUCUGGAAACCAGAGUUUGAAUCCCUGCUUGGCCAUGAACCUACCGGUGGUGCAGUGGGUGAAACUUUUGUGCCAACAGGACUGCUGACUGAAAGACCCCUUCCAUAAAGCUGCAUAAAACCCACAUUGAAUUGGAUUAUAUGGCAAUGUGGACUCAGAUAACCCAGUUCAAAGCAGCAAGCCC